rfam:Ailuropoda melanoleuca scaffold2053_40, whole genome shotgun sequence.
AUACCUACCUGGUAGGGGAGAUACCAUGAUCAUGAAGGUGGUGUUCCGAGGGCGAGGCUUAUCCAUUGCACUAUGGAUGUGCUGACCCCUGUGAUUUCCCCAAAUAUAAGAAAUGGGACUACAUAAUUUGUGGUAGUGGGGACUGUGUUUAUGAUUUCCCCUA